CCUACGGGUGGCUGCAGUGGGGAAUAUUGGGCAAUGGGCGCAAGCCUGAACCAGCAACGCCGCGUGAAGGAAGAAGGCUUUCGGGUUGUAAACUUCUUUUCUCAGGGACGAAGCAAGUGACGGUACCUGAAGAAUAAGCGCCGGCUAACUACGUGCCAGCAGCCGCGCUAAUACGUAGGGCGCGGGCGUUAUCCGGAAUUAUUGGGUGUAAAGGGUGCGUAGGUGGCAGAGUAAGUCAUUCGUAAAAAUGCUGGGCUCAACCCAGUAGGGCAAAAGAUACUGCGAAGCUAGAGUAUGAGAGAGGCAAGUGGAACUAGAUGUGUAGCGGUGAAAUGCGUAGAUAUAAGUAAGAACACCAGUGGCGAAGGCGGCUUACUGGGUCGAAACUGACGUUGAGGCACGAAAGCGUGGGGAGCGAACAGGAUUAGAUACCCGAGUAGUC
rnacentral:rRNA from 1 species